AAACAUCUUGGCGUCACCCUUUACUCGCUUCUCCCUCUCAUACUCCAUAGUCAAGCCACCUCUGGUGCCAUCUCUGAAAUACAUUCUACACCCAAGUAUUCAGUACCUUGCUGCCAACACCAAGGAUGCAGUAUCCAUCUCCUGCCAGGCUGCCUGGUACACACCUAGACGUCUGACUCUACUUUUGGACUAACAUUCCAGGAAGGAUGUAUUACGGUACACAGAAGACUGCAUAAACCUGCUCACAGGGGAUUCAGACCGCAAGACUCUGAGGCAGCAUUGGGAUGGCAGUCCUGUCCCUCCAUGAGUGGCCUUAGCUGUCCCCAACAGCAGGAGGAGAUUAUGUGGUACCACCUCACAGCACGGGGGUGGGGCAGGGUAAACCUGGGAAAGGGCCCUGAUGCCACAUCCAGAGGAAAAAUAUUCCACUGGAUCAUUAAUUCAA